GACGAACGCUGGCGGCAUGCCUAAUACAUGCAAGUCGAGCGAACGGAUGAAGUGCUUGCACUUCUGACGUUAGCGGCGAACGGGUGAGUAACACGUAAGGAAUCUACCUAUAAGCGGGGGAUAACAUUCGGAACCGGGUGCUAAUGCAGCAUAAUAUCUUCUUCCGCAUGGAAGAAGAUUGAAAGACGGCUCUGCUGUCACUUAUAGAUGACCUUGCGUUGCAUGAGUUAGUUGGUGGGGUAACGGCCUACCAAGACGAUGAUGCAUAGCCGACCUGAGAGGGUGAUCGGCCACAUUGGGACUGAGACACGGCCCAAACGCCUACGGGAGGCAGCAGUAGGGAAUCUUCCGCAAUGGGCGAAAGCCUGACGGAGCAAUGCCGCGUGAGUGAAGAAGGCCUUCGGGUCGUAAAACUCUGUUAUAAGAGAAGAACAAAUUGUAGAGUAACUGCUACAGUCUUGACGGUAUCUUAUCAGAAAGCCACGGCUAACUACGUGCCAGCAGCCGCAGUAA
rnacentral:rRNA from 1 species